rnacentral:rRNA from 1 species
GUACGGAAGGCAGCAGUAAGGAAUAUUGGACAAUGGCCGCAAGGCUGAUCCAGCCAUGCCGCGUGCAGGAAGAAGGCGCUAUGCGUCGUAAACUGCUUUUACACCGGAGAAAACCCUCUUUCGUGAAAGAGGCUGAUAGUAUGGUGAGAAUAAGCAUCGGCUAACUUAGUGCCAGCAGCCGCGGUAAGACGAAGGAUGCAAGCGUUAUCCGGAUUCAUUGGGUUUAAAGGGAGCGUAGGUGGUCUUAUAAGUCAGUGGUGAAAUCUCGCAGCUUAACUGCGAAACUGCCAUUGAUACUGUAGGACUUGAGUAUAGUUGCUGUGGGCGGAAUAUGACAUGUAGUGGUGAAAUACUUAGAGAUGUCAUAGAACACCGAUUGCGAAGGCAGCUCACAAAACUAUAACUGACACUGAGGCUCGAAAGUGCGGGGAUCAAACAGGAUUAGAUACCCUAGUAGUCA